rnacentral:misc_RNA from 1 species
AUGUUCUUGAGAUACUUCUUGGACGAGAACCAACAAAGAGUGUACACUUUGAAGAGAACUGCUCCAUCUGGAGAGCAAACUCUUACCGCUCAUCCAGCUCGCUUUUCGCCGGAAGACAAGAACUCCAAAUAUCGCAUCAUCAUCAAGAAGCGCUUCGGACUCUUGCCAACCCAGAAGGCAAAGACCGUUUGCUAAAAUGCUGGUUUGGGAGUGGCGCCGCAUGUUGCGGCAAAAAAUCCGCUCUUUCACCCCCAAUAAACCUAUCAAUUAUCAACAGGUGUCUCGUCGUCGUAUCAUCGUCUCUUUUGUUCUUUUCUUCGUUGGAUGGAAAGCUUUUGGUUAUACUCUCAACGAUAUGUUCCUUUGGACUGUCGAUGAGCAAACUAUGCAAGGUCGCUUUUUAACUCCACAAGAAGGCAAAGAUCGAAGAGAGGCCCUAGAACGACAACGAGAUCCCAAGUUACGCAUCAAACCCCCAAUUGUUUCGAAAUACGAUCUUGACGACUAG